ACCUGCCAAGUGGAAACCCUGGGUAGCCUGUCUGAUCCUAGGCCACCUGGGACUGCGGGCGAGACCCCUCACACAGCCGCUUAGCUGGACGGCAGGUGAAAUGCUGGCACCUUGACACUGAGCCCGUGAGUAAGCGGAUGCUGUGUCCCGUUGACUGUAAUUCAGGAUGGGCAUGUGCGCUGUAUCCCAGCGCCAAAGUGUGUCAGAGGACGACGGUUCUGCAGCGGUGAACGCAGCCUGCUGCCCGACUCUGAGGCUCCCAUUACGCAUGCGGAAUUUACCUUGAAGUCAUUUAACUCCCAUCCACGAAAUGAAGCUGUAUCUGAAGAUGACCCCAGAAUUAUUCUUUUCAGUCCUUUUUCUUCAUGGGUUUACAUGACCAGCCACUUCAGUUAUGUCACUGGAGAUGUAUCUGGUGAAGUAUCAGGAGAGGAUGGAGGACUUCAAUGAGAACUUAAGAAAUUGUUUCACGGAGGUGGUGUCACAAGCGUGAGGAUCCUAGCCAUCCAGGCUGCUGAACAGUCCCUGGGCACUGGAAUAUUCUCCAUGCCAGGUCGUGAAAAGGGUACGUCGGUUGUCUUCCAAGAUGAUGGGGUGCCACUUAAAGCCAAGAAACUCAAAUGAGACCCAAAGGAGAGAAAUCUGCUAAUGAGCCCAUCAAGAUAAAGAGGUGUGCCGCUGCAGUCUCUGCCUCCGUUGUCACGUGGCCAUCUUCUCCCUGUGGUCUCUACACUGUCUUCUUUCUGUGCAUGUCCAUCUCUGCGUUCGAAUUACCUCUUCUCAUAAGGACACCAGUCCUGUUGGAUUAAGGCCCCACCCUAACGACUUCAUCUGAACGUGGCUACAUCUCCAAAGACCCUAUUUCCAAACAAGGUCAUGUUCACAGGUACUGUGGGUCAGGACUUCAAUAUAUCUUUUAGGGGGACACAGUUCAUCCCACAACAACAGUUAACCUCUCUAAGCUUCAGUUUUCUUAUCUUUACAGUGAUGGAUCCCCAUAGUGUCAAAGUCAAGGAGAUACUGUAGGGGAUACAUCUGAAGGCUUAGACACGAGGCUUCACAAAUAGCCCUCAAUACGUGGUCCUUAUUA